UACGUAGGGGGCAAGCGUUAUCCGGAUUUACUGGGUGUAAAGGGAGCGUAGACGGCGAUGCAAGCCAGAUGUGAAAGCCCGGGGCUCAACCCCGGGACUGCAUUUGGAACUGUAUAGCUAGAGUGUCGGGGAGGCAGGCGGAAUUCCUAGUGUAGCGGUGAAAUGCGUAGAUAUAUGGAAGAACACCAGUGGCGAAAGCGGCUCUCUGGUCUGUAACUGACGCUGAGGUUCGAAAGCGUGGGUAGCAAACAGG
rnacentral:rRNA from 1 species